rnacentral:piRNA from 1 species
ACAACUGACCUUGUUGAUGAAUAC